CAGCAGCCACGGGAAUACGUAGGGUGCAAGCGUUAAUCGGAAUUACUGGGCGUAAAGCGUGCGCAGGCGGUUAUAUAAGACAGAUGUGAAAUCCCCGGGCUCAACCUGGGAACUGCAUUUGUGACUGUAUAGCUAGAGUACGGCAGAGGGGGAUGGAAUUCCGCGUGUAGCAGUGAAAUGCGUAGAUAUGCGGAGGAACACCGAUGGCGAAGGCAAUCCCCUGGGCCUGUACUGACGCUCAUGCACGAAAGCGUGGGGAGCAAACAGGAUUAGAUACCUCAGUAGUCCCUGUCUCUUAUAC
rnacentral:rRNA from 1 species